rnacentral:rRNA from 1 species
GAAUUUUUCGCAAUGGGGGCAACCCUGACGAAGCAAUGCCGCGUGGAUGAUGAAGUCUCUUGGGACGUAAAAUCCUUUCGACGGGGACGAAACCGCAAGGUUGACGGUACCCGUGGAAGAAGCCCCGGCUAACUCCGUGCCAGCAGCCGCGGUAAUACGGGGGGGGCAAGCGUUGUUCGGAAUUACUGGGCGUAAAGGGUGCGUAGGCGGCGCUCUAAGUCGGAUGUGAAAACUCUGGGCUCAACCCAGAGCCUGCAUCUGAAACUGGAGUGCUAGGGUGCUGGAGGGGAAAGCGGAAUUCCUGGUGUAGCGGUGAAAUGCGUAGAUAUCAGGAGGAACACCGGUGGCGAAGGCGGCUUUCUGGACAGUAACCGACGCUGAGGCACGAAAGCUAGGGGAGCAAACAGG